rnacentral:rRNA from 1 species
CCCACCCGUGUUUACUGUACCUUAGUUGCUUCGGCGGGCCCGCCAUUCAUGGCCGCCGGGGGCUCUCAGCCCCGGGCCCGCGCCCGCCGGAGACACCACGAACUCUGUCUGAUCUAGUGAAGUCUGAGUUGAUUGUAUCGCAAUCAGUUAAAACUUUCAACAAUGGAUCUCUUGGUUCCGGCAUCGAUGAAGAACGCAGCGAAAUGCGAUAACUAGUGUGAAUUGCAGAAUUCCGUGAAUCAUCGAGUCUUUGAACGCACAUUGCGCCCCCUGGUAUUCCGGGGGGCAUGCCUGUCCGAGCGUCAUUGCUGCCCAUCAAGCACGGCUUGUGUGUUGGGUCGUCGUCCCCUCUCCGGGGGGGACGGGCCCCAAAGGCAGCGGCGGCACCGCGUCCGAUCCUCGAGCGUAUGGGGCUUUGUCACCCGCUCUGUAGGCCCGGCCGGCGCUUGCCGAACGCAAAUCAAUCUUUUUCCAGGUUGACCUCGGAUCAGGUAGGGAUACCCGCUGAACUUAAGCAUA